AGGUCUGUGCUAAACACACAUGGAAGAAUCUAUGCCAGGCACUCUGCCACCAUGGCAAAGAAUCCGAACAUGAAGAAGAUGGGUUUGAAUACCUGAAGAAUGUUGGGAGCUAAGUCAGUAUUCGUCCACAUCUGAAGAUUGACAAAUCAUUUCAAGCGAAAAGAAGUAUGUAAUGUAGAAUGACAUCAUAUUUUAUGACUCUUUUAUCAUUAUGCUUUCUCUCAGGGAACUUCUUUAGAAAAACCGUUUCCCCAGAGUAAGUAUAUUUCCAUCAAACAGAACCCACUGAAACAUGAUGAGGACAAAGGCUACACCUCAAUUUAAUAAAGAUGCCUAAAUAUACAAGUCA
rnacentral:lncRNA from 1 species